AUUGAACGCUGGCGGCAGGCCUAACACAUGCAAGUCGAGCGAGCGGCGGACGGGUGAGUAAUGUCUGGGAAACUGCCUGAUGGAGGGGGAUAACUACUGGAAACGGUAGCUAAUACCGCAUACCAUCAGAUGUGCCCAGAGGGGAUUAGCUAGUAGGUGGGGUGACGGGGCAACUGGGCGACGAUCCCUAGCUGGUCUGGGAGGAUGACCAGCCACACUGGAACUGAGACACGGUCCAGACUCCUACGGGAGGGAGCAGUGGGGAAUAUUGCACAAUGGGCGCAAGCCUGAUACAGCCAUGCCGCGUGUGUGAAGAAGGCCUUCGGGUUGUAAAGCACUUUCAGCGGGGAGGCGUUACCCGCAGAAGAAGCACCGGCUAACUCCGUGCCAGCAGCCGCGGUAAUAC
rnacentral:rRNA from 1 species